UGGGGAAUCUUGCACAAUGGGCGAAAGCCUGAUGCAGCGACGCCGCGUGCGGGAUGAAGGCCUUCGGGUUGUAAACCGCUUUCAGCAGGGACGAGGCCGCAAGGUGACGGUACCUGCAGAAGAAGCCCCGGCUAACUACGUGCCAGCAGCCGCGGUAAUACGUAGGGGGCAAGCGUUAUCCGGAUUCAUUGGGCGUAAAGCGCGCGUAGGCGGUUUGUUAGGUCAGGAGUUAAAUCUGGGGGCUCAACCCCUAUCCGCUCCUGAUACCGGCAGGCUUGAGUCUGGUAGGGGAAGGCGGAAUUCCAAGUGUAGCGGUGAAAUGCGCAGAUAUUUGGAAGAACACCGGUGGCGAAGGCGGCCUUCUGGGCCAUAACUGACGCUGAGGAGCGAAAGCUAGGGGAGCGAACAGG
rnacentral:rRNA from 1 species